CUCUUAGACAGUCCAGGACCCAGUCAAGGGAAUGGUACCACCCACUGUGGGCUCUGUCUUCUCAACCUAUGGGUCAACCUGAUCUAGAUAGUGGAGGAUGUUCAGGGAAUAUACAAUGUGGAGUGUAUCUCCCUGCCUUCUCAUUGAUACAUGGGGCCUUGCCACACAGCCUCCUAGACGCCCAGCAGCAUCCCACCCUAGGAGACUAUUUCCUUGGCUAUGUUCUUCACUGACCACACCAUGGGAAGGAUGCUACCUGCUGCUCUGUACUGUUGCUCUUGCUUCUUAGUUGUCCUGACCCAUGAAGACUGCUCAUGUAUCUGGAAGCAAGAGAUGGAGACUUCAAGGAACUAAAGACACCGUCUACAGCAGAA